rnacentral:rRNA from 1 species
CCCACCGGGGCAUGCUCAGUACGGCGAGUGAGCGGCAAGAGCUCAAAUUUGAAAGCUGGCUCCUUCGGAGUCCGCAUUGUAAUUUGCAGAGGAUGCUUUGGGUGCGGCCCCCGUCUAAGUGCCCUGGAACGGGCCGUCAGAGAGGGUGAGAAUCCCGUCUUGGGCGGGGUGUCCGUGCCCGUGUAAAGCUCCUUCGACGAGUCGAGUUGUUUGGGAAUGCAGCUCUAAAUGGGUGGUAAAUUUCAUCUAAAGCUAAAUACUGGCCGGAGACCGAUAGCGCACAAGUAGAGUGAUCGAAAGAUGAAAAGCACUUUGAAAAGAGAGUUAAACAGCACGUGAAAUUGUUGAAAGGGAAGCGCUUGCGACCAGACUCGCCCGCGGGGUUCAGCCGGCAUUCGUGCCGGUGUACUUCCCCGUGGGCGGGCCAGCGUCGGUUUGGGCGGCCGGUCAAAGGCCCCUGGAAUGUAGUGCCCUCCGGGGCACCUUAUAGCCAGGGGUGCAAUGCGGCCAGCCUGGACCGAGGAACGCGCUUCGGCACGGACGCUGGCAUAAUGGUCGUAAACGACCCGUCUUGAACCACGGACCAA